rnacentral:rRNA from 1 species
CCUGAGAAACCCGAAAGAUCGAAUGGGGGGACUCAACGACUGCGAUCCUGGCGCUCGCGCGGUUCGCGAUUCUACGGGGCCUCGGCCUCGUGGGACGCGUCCGUGUGUGCUUAUUCGCCGGGCGUCGCCGUCGCGCACUUCUCCCCUAGUAGGACGUCGCGACCCGUUGGGUGUCGGUCUACGGCCCGGGUGGGCGCCUGUCGUUUGUUACGCCUCGCGGCGUCAUGCGGCAGACCCCCGGUUGCCCGACCAGCUGCCCGGCGGUACUCGCACGGUAUCGAGCCGCAAAUAUUUGAACUGCGUCAGGCCCGUCGCAAGCGAGGCCAGUGUUUAACCCGGAUGCGUACGGACCUAGUGCCGUCACCGGGCCUGGCCGGCUGUUGGCCGACGGUGUCCUAGGACAGGCUCUUUCGAAUUAUGAUACCGGUCGGCGACGCUACUGCUUUGGGUACUUUCAGGACCCGUCUUGAAACACGGA